GAUGAACGCUGGCGGCGUGCCUAAUACAUGCAAGUCGAGCGAACGGACGAGAAGCUUGCUUCUCUGAUGUUAGCGGCGGACGGGUGAGUAACACGUGGAUAACCUACCUAUAAGACUGGGAUAACUUCGGGAAACCGGAGCUAAUACCGGAUAAUAUUUUGAACCGCAUGGUUCAAAAGUGAAAGACGGUCUUGCUGUCACUUAUAGAUGGAUCCGCGCUGCAUUAGCUAGUUGGUAAGGUAACGGCUUACCAAGGCAACGAUGCAUAGCCGACCUGAGAGGGUGAUCGGCCACACUGGAACUGAGACACGGUCCAGACUCCUACGGGAGGCAGCAGUAGGGAAUCUUCCGCAAUGGGCGAAAGCCUGACGGAGCAACGCCGCGUGAGUGAUGAAGGUCUUCGGAUCGUAAAACUCUGUUAUUAGGGAAGAACAUAUGUGUAAGUAACUGUGCACAUCUUGACGGUACCUAAUCAGAAAGCCACGGCUAACUACGUGCCAGCAGCCGCGGUAAUACGUAGGUGGCAAGCGUUAUCCGGAAUUAUUGGGCGUAAAGCGCGCGUAGGCGGUUUUUUAAGUCUGAUGUGAAAGCCCACGGCUCAACCGUGGAGGGUCAUUGGAAACUGGAAAACUUGAGUGCAGAAGAGGAAAGUGGAAUUCCAUGUGUAGCGGUGAAAUGCGCAGAGGUAUGGAGGAACACCAGUGGCGAAGGCGACUUUCUGGUCUGUAACUGACGCUGAUGUGCGAAAGCGUGGGGAUCAAACAGGAUUAGAUACCCUGGUAGUCCACGCCGUAAACGAUGAGUGCUAAGUGUUAGGGGGUUUCCGCCCCUUAGUGCUGCAGCUAACGCAUUAAGCACUCCGCCUGGGGAGUACGACCGCAAGGUUGAAACUCAAAGGAAUUGACGGGGACCCGCACAAGCGGUGGAGCAUGUGGUUUAAUUCGAAGCAACGCGAAGAACCUUACCAAAUCUUGACAUCCUUUGACAACUCUAGAGAUAGAGCUUUCCCCUUCGGGGGACAAAGUGACAGGUGGUGCAUGGUUGUCGUCAGCUCGUGUCGUGAGAUGUUGGGUUAAGUCCCGCAACGAGCGCAACCCUUAAGCUUAGUUGCCAUCAUUAAGUUGGGCACUCUAAGUUGACUGCCGGUGACAAACCGGAGGAAGGUGGGGAUGACGUCAAAUCAUCAUGCCCCUUAUGAUUUGGGCUACACACGUGCUACAAUGGACAAUACAAAGGGCAGCGAAACCGCGAGGUCAAGCAAAUCCCAUAAAGUUGUUCUCAGUUCGGAUUGUAGUCUGCAACUCGACUACAUGAAGCUGGAAUCGCUAGUAAUCGUAGAUCAGCAUGCUACGGUGAAUACGUUCCCGGGUCU
rnacentral:rRNA from 1 species